rnacentral:rRNA from 1 species
CAGUCGCCGCGGUAAAACGAGGGGUGCAAGCGUUAUUCGGAUUGAUUGGGUGUAAAGGGCUCGCAGGCGGUUUCUUAAGUCUGAUGUGAAAGCCCCCGGCUCAACCGGGGAGGGUCAUUGGAAACUGGGAAACUUGAGUGCAGAAGAGGAGAGUGGAAUUCCACGUGUAGCGGUGAAAUGCGUAGAGAUGUGGAGGAACACCAGUGGCGAAGGCGACUCUCUGGUCUGUAACUGACGCUGAGGAGCGAAAGCGUGGGGAGCGAACAGGAUUAGAUACCCCUGUAGUCCCUGUCUCUUAUAC